ensembl:lncRNA
UGUGUGAGCACAUUAUGGUGUCAUGAACUCGAUUAAGUACAAUUAACUAUCACAUCAUUUUUUUUUUAAAUGAAAGAAAUCGGACAUACUUGAUCAAGUGCUGUUUUAUAAGCUGUUGAAUAUUGAGAGUAGAAGCCAUUCUGCUAAAUUAAACUUGCCAUAGUUAUAUGUAAUAAUUAUAACUAAGACUACAAAAAAAAAAAAGUCUAGACAUUAUUAUAAAACCCCAUUUUGGGCAUGUUUACGCAAAAAAAAUCCAGCAACUCCAGGGGUGUGAACUACACGCAGGUAACUUCUGAUUAUUUGAAUGGACUGUUUAGAAAACAAACAAGCACCUGUGUGAGCUUACGCUAAAUAUGAGGAUUUUUCCAAGUGUAAUUAUUGACAUAGCUUUUAAAUUGAAUUCACCCGUUACACACAAAUAUGCCUACAACCAAUAAAUAUCGACUUUUUGCUAGGUAAUGCUUGCUAGGUAACUUACCAAGCCUUAUAGUCUGUGUUUUGAUCAUUUGUUUUGUUUUUUGUUUUGCUUUAUCUUGCCUUGCUCUCUGGUUUUUGGAUUUGCCCUCUUAUAGUGGUUUGUUGAUCACGUGACCUGACUUCUUGCUUGUUUCUGUUUACGUCAUUUACCUCACAUUUUGGAUUUGUUUGCUAAUAUUUCUAAUAAAACACUAAACUGCAUUUGGAUUCAUCUCUCACUUCGUUGCAUGACAGAUUACUUUGCCUAUUGUAUGAAUGCAGCAGGAGAGCAGGACUGACAAAACAUCAUGGCAGCCCAAGAAAGACUUGUGGUGGACUAUCAACAACAACUGGCUGAGCUGGAUGCAAAGCUGACGAUGCUCACAAAUUAGCUCCGCCCACCUUCGCUGCACCAGGAGCUCCAGCUGCGCCUCCAUGUUCACUCGCCUCCCAUCCGGACAAGUACUCAGAAGAGACUGCCCAAUGCAAAGGUUUUCGGUUGCAAUGCUCACAACCAUUGUCCAGCAACUUUUACAAUAGAAAUUUGAUCAUUCCCCCAAAGACAAAGAAAUUGGGGAACAGCUUCUUGCCAUAACCAAGGGGCAAAGAGCUGCAGCUGAGUAUGCCUUAGAGUUAGCAUAGAGAGAGUGGGAUUCAGAUGCAAUGAAUCAUACCUCAAGGCCACAUUUUGCCAGUGAUUAAGCUGGCUUGCCAAGAUGAGAAAAUGUCACUCAAUUCAUUGAUUGAUCUAGCUAUUCAUCUGGAUCACCUCACUCGCAACCGCCAAGUGCCUAAGGAAAUGUUGAACUCACAGCCAGAGAGCAGUUGUUCUGCAACGAUCCAGCUGGCUCAAGGCACUGAGAGAGAGAAGAACAGAAUGGAAAAAUUCUGCUCUUACUAUGGUAACCCUAACCACUUCCUGGCACAGUUUCCUUCUCGUGCCAAACCCCUAGCCAAACACAACCACACUGAGAGAAUCAAAACCUUCACCUGCUCCUCUAAGCAUUGAUUGAUUCCAGAUCUGCUGGCAAUUUCAUGGACCAAGCCAUCGGAGAGAAACUGAACAUCCCCACACAAUCACUUCAACAUCCUCUGAAAAUUCCUGCUAUUGAUGAUGGACACAUAGGAAACAGAACCGUAACACUUUGCAACAAACCCCUCCUUCUCAAAGUCAGGACUCUCACUCAAGAAUACAUCUCAUUUCUAACUACUGUCAAUACUAAGCACCCCAUCAUUCUAGGAUCUCCCUGGAUGCACCUCCAUGACCCACAAAUCUAUUGGUUCAACAAAGAAAUCACCAGAUGGUCCAGACACACACAGGACCUACAACCUAUUCAGUGCAAGAUGUUGGUGGCCUGACAUGUUGACUGACAUAUACCGAUUCAUCUUUUCAAGCACCACAUUUGCCCAAGCCAUAGUACCAUGCACUCUACCAGCUUCUCAACUCAUGACCUUACCCACAGCCCAGCGACCCUGGUCUCACCUUGCCAUCAGUCUCACGGUUACAAGAACAUAGUCAUCAUGGUCAUCAUAGAUCGAUUCUCAAAAUGGUUUGCCUAUUUCAUUCAAAACAGCAGAGUUCAUCUUUGUAAACAUGUUCUGUUACUAUUGAAUCCCGGAAGACAUUAUAAGUGACCAUGCUCACAUCCAGGUCUGGUCCAGUUUUAUGAAGAAACUGGGUGUCUCUGUAAGUUUAACACCUGGUUACCACCCACAAGUUAACAAAUAAGUUGAACAGGCAAACCAGGAGGUCAACUGUUUCUUAAUAUCAUUUUGUGCUGAGAACCAGGAGGCUUGGUCUCAGUUCCUUCCUUGAGCUCAGAAUGUGCAGAACUCACCAUUCAGCAAUGCAGUUGCCUCCUUUCCACUGUGUACUUGCUUAUCAACUACCCGUUUCCCCCUGGAACACUAAACCCAACGGAUUCACCCGCAGUGGACAAAUGGUUUGGGUGGAGUGCACAAGUGUGAGAGAUUAUUUACUUUCACUCGACUGUCCCUGAUUGGUGGAUUUAUCUCUCUUUGUAUACAUCUUUUUCUUUGUUCUGUAUUCAUAGUCGAUUAAGUUUAAAAGUUAUGUCAAUAUUUAUGCAUGUAAUGUUCUCUGUAUUCAGACUGGGCUUCUCUAUUUAUAUAACUUUUAGUAUUUCAUGGUCCAGCUUGAUAAUUGCUUGAUAAGUAUAAUGGUCCAACGUUGUUUUUUUGUUGUUGUUAUAAAUAAAUAAAAACAAUGAAAU